GACGAACGCUGGCGGCGUGCUUAACACAUGCAAGUCGAACGGAAAGGCCCUGCUUUUGUUGGGUGCUCGAGUGGCGAACGGGUGAGUAACACGUGAGUAACCUGCCCUUUACUUUGGGAUAACUUCAGGAAACUGGGGCUCAUACCGGAUAGGAGCUCCUGCUGCAUGGUGGGGGUUGGAAAGUUUCGGCGGUUGGGGAUGGACUCGCGGCUUAUCAGCUUGUUGGUGGGGUAGUGGCUUACCAAGGCUUUGACGGGUAGCCGGCCUGAGAGGGUGACCGGCCACAUUGGGACUGAGAUACGGCCCAGACUCCUACGGGAGGCAGCAGUGGGGAAUAUUGCACAAUGGGCGGAAGCCUGAUGCAGCAACGCCGCGUGCGGGAUGACGGCCUUCGGGUUGUAAACCGCUUUCGCCUGUGACGAAGCGUGAGUGACGGUAAUGGGUAAAGAAGCACCGGCUAACUACGUG
rnacentral:rRNA from 1 species